CCUACGGGAGGCAGCAGUGAGGAAUAUUGGUCAAUGGACGAGAGUCUGAACCAGCCAAGCAGCGUGAAGGAUGAAGGCCCUAUGGGUUGUAAACUUCUUUUAUAUGGGAAUAAAAUGUUCCACGUGUGGGAUUUUGUAUGUACCAUAUGAAUAAGGAUCGGCUAACUCCGUGCCAGCAGCCGCGGUAAUACGGAGGGUCCGAGCGUUAUCCGGAUUUAUUGGGUUUAAAGGGAGCGUAGGUGGAUUGUUAAGUCAGUUGUGAAAGUUUGUGGCUCAACCGUAAAAGUGCAGUUGAAACUGGCAGGCUUGAGUACAGUAGAGGUGGGCAGAAUUCGUGGUGUAGCGGUGAAAUGCUUAGAUAUCACGAAGAACUCCGAUUGCGAAGGCAGUUCACUGGACUGAAACUGACACUGAGGCGCGAAAGUGUGGGUAUCAAACAGGAUUAGAUACCCGUGUAGUC
rnacentral:rRNA from 1 species